rnacentral:rRNA from 1 species
CAGUCCGGAUUGUAGGCUGCAACUGCCUACAUGAAGUUGGAAUCGCUAGUAAUCGCGAAUCAGAAUGUCGCGGUGAAUACGUUCCCGGGUCUUGUACACACCGCCCGUCACACCACGAGAGUUUACAACACCCGAAGUCAGUGGCCUAACCGUAAGGAGGGAGCUGCCUAAGGUGGGGUAGAUGAUUGGGGUGAAGUCGUAACAAGGUACC